UCCGGUUCAUCACCGGCAGUCUUCUUAAAGUUCCCAGCUUUACCUGUUGGCAAUUAAGAAUAGGGGUUGCGCUCGUUACGGGACUUAACCCAACAUCUCACAACACGAGCUGACGACAGCCAUGCAGCACCUGUCUCCUAGCUCCUUGUGGCACUUCGACAUUUCUAUCGAAUUCCAGGGAUUCAAGAGUAGGUAAGGUUUUGCGCGUUGCAUCGAAUUAAACCACAUGCUCCACCGCUUGUGCGGGCCCCCGUCAAUUCCUUUGAGUUUUAACCUUGCGGCCGUACUCCCCAGGCGGAGAACUUAUCGCGUUAGCUUCGCUACUAAAACCCUAUAGGUUACAACAGCAAGUUCUCAUCGUUUACAGCAUGGACUAC
rnacentral:misc_RNA from 1 species